UACGUAGGGUGCAAGCGUUGUCCGGAUUUAUUGGGCGUAAAGAGCGUGUAGGCGGCCAUACAGGUCCGUUGUGAAAACUCGAGGCUCAACCUCGAGACGUCGAUGGAAACCGUAUGGCUAGAGUCCGGAAGAGGAGAGUGGAAUUCCUGGUGUAGCGGUGAAAUGCGCAGAUAUCAGGAAGAACACCCGUGGCGAAGGCGGCUCUCUGGGACGGUACUGACGCUGAGACGCGAAAGCGUGGGGAGCGAACAGG
rnacentral:rRNA from 1 species